rnacentral:rRNA from 1 species
AGAUUGAACUGAAGAGUUUGAUCCUGGCUCAGAUUGAACGCUGGCGGCAUGCUUUACACAUGCAAGUCGAACGGUAACAGGGAGCUUGCUCCGCUGACGAGUGGCGAACGGGUGAGUAAUGCGUCGGAACGUGCCGAGUAGUGGGGGAUAACUAUCCGAAAGGAUAGCUAAUACCGCAUACGCUUUGAGAAGGAAAGCAGGGGAUCGCAAGACCUUGCGCUAUUCGAGCGGCCGACGUCUGAUUAGCUAGUUGGUGAGGUAAGAGCUCACCAAGGCGACGAUCAGUAGCGGGUCUGAGAGGAUGAUCCGCCACACUGGGACUGAGACACGGCCCAGACUCCUACGGGAGGCAGCAGUGGGGAAUUUUGGACAAUGGGCGCAAGCCUGAUCCAGCCAUGCCGCGUGUCUGAAGAAGGCCUUCGGGUUGUAAAGGACUUUUGUCAGGGAGGAAAUCCCUA